GAAUGUAGCUCAGUUGGUAGAGCGUGUCACUAGUGCUCAUACUUACCUGUAACGAGGUCAGUCGUUCAAGUCGGCUAGAGGGAAUCC